CUUGCAGAGUUUAGGAUUGAAAUUAGGACAACUACGACACUAAGGGCGACUUUUGCGCCCUUAGUGUCGUAGUUGUCCGAUUUUAAGUUACUUCCAUAUUUUA